CUGAGGCGCUCUGUCCGUCCGAUCAGUCGUAUUUAUUGAGCGCUUACUGGGUGCAGAGCACUGUGCUAAGCGCUUGGGACGGCCAAGUUGGCCCCUUUCGAGGGUCUCGAAUGAGCCGAGUGAAGUGACGGUGUCAUUUCCUACCUGAACGUCAAGUACCAGUCCAUCCGGUAGACUUCACGGAGCAAAGGGAAGCUGGGUGGAACGAGAACCGGAGCUUGAAAUAGCCGUUCAGCGCAGCUUCCUCAUUGCAUUUUAUUUAUGCCGAAUUAGAGAAGAAACGGGAGUUCUCUCAAGAAGCCAGGUCUUUGAUUCCGAUCCACUUUUGAUCUGGAGCAGUUCCAGCAACACGUACAUUUUGUUUGUAACUCAGAUUUGACUCCAUCUAUCUACCCACCGAGCAGGGCAAGAUGCUUUUUGGUUGCCACCGAUUAUAAUAUGCCUUUAAACCAACAGACCGUGCACGGUCAACGGAAUCAACUGAUGUAAGUCUGUCUAGUAAAACCAGUUUUCCUUCGAUUUUUCCACCAGUUUUUACUUAAAGGGAGUGACCGCUCUUUUGUUAAAAGUAUACCCCAUAAUCGUUGUGUGGUUGCUGGCCAAGGAAGGCAACAAAGAAAGGGCUCUUGUUUUUGAUACUGAAGUGAUUUUAGGGGAAUAUGCGAAAACGUGCCAUACUCCAGAUUAAUAAUGACUUUUUCCUAUUCUAAACACAGAUGGAGUUCAGUGUUCCCAGACUUUCUAUUGUAGAAAUUGGAUUUUAAAAUUAAACUUUCCCCCACCAUCAAUAUCAGCGUUUACUGAGUACCUAUAGCGUGCAGAACACUGUACUAGGCCCUUAGGAGCAACCAA